GGAAGCGUGCCCGAAAGAUAA
rnacentral:tRNA from 2 species